rnacentral:misc_RNA from 1 species
UGCUUUUUGUGAUUGCAUGGGUGUGGGUGGCCUUCGUGAGGCGUGCCUAGCGCCUUGGUGCACGUAGAUGCGCCUGCUGGAGGUUGUGCGCCUUUGGGUUCCUCAAGCACUAUGGGCUUUGCCUGGUGUGCCUUGCGCAUCGGCACGCGCCUUCGAUAACAAUGCUUGCAACCCUAGUUACUUUCAAAUCAAAGAAAAUGAUAAUGUGGAGCAGAACAUUGAGUUUGUG